GAUUGAUGGAUUGAUUGAUUGAUAUAUAACUGAUAAAUGUCAAAGCAUUUACGUAUAGUACCAGUCCAAAUUUGGACACCUACUCAUUCAAGGGUUUUUCUUUAUCUGUACUAUUUUUCUACAUUGUAGAAUAAUAGUGAAGAGAUCAAAUCUAUUAAAUAACACAUCUUUGCAGAAUCUUGGCAUUCUCUCAACCAGCUUCACAAGGAAUGCUUUUCCAACAGUCUUGAAGGGGUUCCCACGUAUGCUGCUUUUCUUUGUUGGCUGCUUUUCAUUCACUCUGCGGUUCAUCUCAUCCCAAACCAUCUCAAUUGGGUUGAGGUCGGGUGAUUGUGGAGGCCUGGUCAUCUGAUGCAGCACUCCAUCACUCUCCUUCUUGGUCAAAUAGCCCUUACUCAGCCUGGAGGUGUGUUUUGGGUCACUGUCCUGUUGAAAAACAAAUGAUAGUCCCACUAAUCCCAAACCAGAUGGGAUGGCAUAUCACUGCAGAAUGCUGUGGUAGACAUUCUGCUUAAGUGCCUUGAAUUCUAAAUAAAUCACAGACAGUGUCACCAGCAAAGCACCAUCACACCUCCUCCAUCUCUUCACGGUGGGUCACACACAUGCGGAGAUCAUCCAUUCACCUACUCUGUGUCUCAUAAAGACAUGACGGUUGGAACCAAAAAUCUCAAAUUUGGACUCAGACCAAAGGACAGAUUUCCACCAGUCCAAUGUCCAUUGCCUGUGUUUCUUGGUCCAUGCAAGUUAUUCUUGUUAUUGGUGUUCUUUAGUAGUGGUUUCAUUGCAGCAAUUCGACCAUGAAGGCCUGAUUCACGCAGUUUCCACUGAACAGUUGAUGUUGAGAUGUGUCUGUUACUUGAACUCUGACAUUCAUUUAUUUGGGCUGCAAUCUGAGGUGCAGUUAACUCUAAUGAACAUAUUCUCUGCAUUAGAGGUAACUCUGAGUCUUCCUUUCCUGUGGAGGUCCUCAUGAGAGCCAGUUUCAUCAUAGCACUUGAUGGAUUCCAUAUGUGUUAUUUCAUAGUUUUAAUGACUUCUCUAUUAUUCCACAAUGUAGAAAAUGGUAAAAAUGAAGAAAAACCCUUGAGUGAAUAGGUGUGUCCAAACUUUUGACUGCUACUGUGUGUGUUGUUUGCAGUGAAAAGCCUGCCCUUUCCACCCCAGUCCUCCUCCUCUCCCUCUCCUCCAUCUCCUCCUCAACUCACUGACGGAUCCCACUUCAUGUGUGUGUAGACGUGUCGAGGAGGUGGUUCUGUGAACUGAACUACACUCACCCAGACAUUGACCUUGGUGAGCAGUGACUCAUAAGCGUUGCCAGCCUGGAGACCCAAGAUGGCAUCCUACAGAGCCAUGAUGGCACCAGCCAGCCUGCACAGAGCAUGCCCAGUAGCUCUCUGUAUGUAUAGAAACAACUGUAGCCAGACAGACAGAAAGAGUAGAUCCACAGGCCUGCUCGUAUUACUUACUGCCUGCCUACACAAUAACUGUGAUGCAAAACUUUUUCAUUCACACAGAGAUAUCAGAGGACGAGAUAGUAUUACCAGAGUGAUAAUUGAUGAUGAUUAUUAUAAUUACUGGUAUUAUGAUGGUCUGUUAUUUUGGACAUGUUCUGUGAGGAUGUCUUGAGUGUCUAUUAGCUGAGCACUGCUGUGAAAAGGAGAGGACUGUACAGUUGUAAAUAAGAGCAUUAGAGGAGUCUCACACUGGGAAGAUCUCAAUUGCAUACUCCUUUCUCAUCUAAUGGGUUCUGAGAAGGAGACAAGGACCUGAGGAUGGGAGGAGUAUGCAUUUGAGGUCUUCCCACAAUCACACACUAUUGAGAGGGCGAAGCACCAAAUCUACACACACUAAGGCAGUGCUUUACUUUAACCACACCGGGGCGCCAUAUGCUCUUGUCUUUUUUACUGGUUUUACUCCCAUUUAAGUUUUUAACCCGAUGCCCUAAACUUUUCAUUUUCCACAUAUUUUACACCGCACAUUCCCUCAUUGUUCAAAGAAGUUGUUAAUAUAUACAUAUAUAAAACAUAUAGAAUGAACUAACUAUUCAAUGGGUUUAUACUUCAAUAAGGUGCCACCCUAUUGCUGCUGUUGGACAGAGUUUAAAUAUUUUAUAAAAGUUGUGUUUAUUUAUGUCGGGAGGAUCGGAAUCUGGUCGCCGCUGACAACCACACGUAAAUGUCCUGGGUUAGAAUCGAUCUGCUUCUCUGUUUUUUUUUUUUCUACGGCUGAGAUAUAUUUAAAGUAAAAUAUAGAAGAGAGAUAAAAUAGUUUUAUGAGAUUAGGGUUGUGUGUUAGAUUCUGUCUGAUUGUGUGGAGUCCUGGACAGAGAGAAGAGAACAGCACAUGUAUAAGCAAUAAGCAGGCGUUUUGUUCCUCCAGGACAUUCAAAUAUAAUGUACAUAAAUGUAAAGUUUCAUUGUGUAAAUGAUGUACACCAUAGAAAGAGCAGAGCAGAAAUUAUAAGUCUGAGGUUAUUAUUAUUAGAGUUAAUAUGAAAAAUGUUCAUAUCUCAUCUGUUUUAUAUCAUGUGAAAUAAAUGUUGAUGUUCUUAAAUGCU
ensembl:lncRNA